GGACUAGUUCAUAAAAACAAAAUUCUGAAACCCUAGUCUUUCAGUUGCUCGAUUGUUCAUUGCUCACGCACGGCUUCACCACUUCCUUCACGCACGGCUUCACCUCUGUUCACCCAUUGUUCAAUUGCUCCCUCCACCAAACCACCAAGCAGAAGCAGGAUUUUUCAUACACUUGGAUGCAACGUUCAUAGCCCAGUGGCAUUUUUUAGCAAGGAAUUGCCAGCUAGUUGACGUGUUAUAAGGCUCCACAAAAUUUCUGGAUCUGUCUCCCGUCAACUCCACUUCUCCACCGCCAUCUCUCGCGCUGACGACCUCUCUCUUCCGCCGCUGACCGCGACUUUGAGAUUGGACUCCGUUACCUGUCGGAAGAAGCAGCUUUGCGAAAGAGGAAUGAGUGAAACCAGUGUUAAGGAAAAUCUAAAGAAAACCAGUGCUCCCCCAAUUGUUAAGUUGGACAAGGCAUUCAAGUUGGCUGAGGUAUGGGUUAACAAUAUGAGCAAAGCUGCAGAUGAUGAAACAACAGAUAUGGAUAUUGGGGUUCGACAUCCUAGGCUUGGUCUUGGGGCAAAAGUCUCACGCCAAUCCAAAGUUGAGGCUACAUCAAAUGACCCUGUUGAAAGAAAAUUGUUUGCCAAAUUGGAUGCUGCAAAAAGAAAAGCAUCCAAUAUUGCUAAAGAGUCUACUUCAGUUGCAUCAAAUAUUUUAGAUGAUGAUGAAGACGAUGAAGAUGCCGAAAGCAGAACAAGUGCAUUUGUCAAGAGGAAAGCAGUAGCUCCUCCGACCUCGUCUAUACCGGGAAAUAAAAAGCAGAAGUGACAUUUACUAGUAGGAGUUGUUUUUUACUGCAAGGCUGCUACCAGGUCAAGCCAGGCUUUCGGAAGGUUCAGGCCAGGCUCGAAAAAAAGCCUUUGAUAGGCCAUAGGCCAGUCUCAGGCCUUAAGAUUUUUAAACAGGCUAGGCCUAUUUAAGCAAAGCCUACCUAGGCCCGGCCUAUUCCCACCCCUAUACAGAGAGAAAUGUGGUCUUAUCCAAGAUGUGAUGUUCUUGAUGGCGGGUAAAAUUUGUGGUGUUGAUUGGUAAAUCAGGUUAUGGAAUCACUCCUCCAUGUAGGCAUGGAAACGAGGUGGGGCAGGGUUUUAGGAAGGCAGAGAUGAAAUUAUGAUACCUAACCCUAUCCUUGUUGGGUUCGAGGAAACCCGCGGGAACCCAGGACUUCGUUUUUUCAAAUCUUAUUAUUAGACUUGCCAAUAGCAUGCAAAAGCGGUGCAAUCACGGUGGUGCGGGGCGAAGCAGAGAUUUCCCGUGAAGGUGGCGCCUGCAGCGGUGCGAUCGCGGUUCUUGUAGCUGUUUUAGCGGGCCAAAAUCACAGUUGUCACAGAGCUAUUUUGUUGCUAUAGGGUUUCUGAUUUUUUAAGAGAGAAGAAGGUUCAAAAAGUCAAAAAUGCACUCACAAUUAGAACGUUGGGGCUAUUAGUUUAAGGGCAUUUUUUGUUUUUUGAUUCUAUUAGUUGGGAUUACUAUUGGUUUUUCAGAUCUAUUAGUUGGAGUAUUCUUGGUA